rnacentral:rRNA from 1 species
UACGUAGGGGGCAAGCGUUGUCCGGAAUUAUUGGGCGUAAAGCGCUCGCAGGCGGUCUUUUAAGUCUGAUGUGAAAGCCCACGGCUCAACCGUGGAGGGUCAUUGGAAACUGGAGGACUUGAGUACAGAAGAGGAGAGUGGAAUUCCACGUGUAGCGGUGAAAUGCGUAGAGAUGUGGAGGAACACCAGUGGCGAAGGCGACUCUCUGGUCUGUAACUGACGCUGAGGAGCGAAAGCGUGGGGAGCGAAC